UUGCAGAGAGUGGAGUAGGGUAGCGACCAUUAUCGUGACUUGCCAGAGAGUUCGGAUCUGUUGGUUGAAGCUCGGUUGAGAUGUCCGAUGGAACGGAAUGGCUCUCUAUCUCAUCGAUCUGGGAGAAGCUCAGAAACAUCCGAGGUUGUGAUGGGUCUACUGUUGUUGGGUGCCCAGAGCACUGAUGCUACAGGCAGAAACC
rnacentral:lncRNA from 1 species